CCUACGGGUGUCAGCAUUGAGGAAUAUUGGUCCAUGGGCGGAAGCCUGAACCAGCCAAGUAGCGUGCAGGAUGACGGCCCUACGGGUUGUAAACUGCUUUUAUACGGGAAUAACGCGCCUUACGUGUAGGGCUUUGCAUGUACCGUAUGAAUAAGGACCGGAUAAUUCCGUGCCAGCCGCCGCGGUAAUACGGAAGGUCCGGGCGUUAUCCGGAUUGAUUGGGUUUAAAGGGAGCGUAGGCCGCAUGUCAAGCGUGCUGUGAAAUGUCCGGGCUCAACCCGGGCCUUGCAGCGCGAACUGGCGUGCUUGAGUCCGCGGAAAGCAGGCGGAAUUCGUCGUGGAGCGGGGAAAUGCUUAGAUAUGACGAAGAACCCCGAUUGCGAAGGCAGCUUGCUGCAGCGGAACUGACGCUGAUGCUCGAAAGCGCGGGUAUCGAACAGGAUUAGAUACCCGGGUAGUC
rnacentral:rRNA from 1 species